AAUAGUCUACAUUCAAUAUUUAUAAUUAGUGUCCAAACAUCCGAUGUGAUAAGGACUUAAAGUUUUAGUCCCAUCUAAACAGGGUCUAAAGUUAUAUGCUCUUCUCGAUUUCUAUGUAGCUUAUAAGACGCUACAGAAUUUUACAACUUGAUUUGAUGUUUUUUUCCAUCGAAGUUGUUUUCUUUCAAUUUCUUGUGUUUUUCCUAUGAUCCGUUCAAACGGUGAUUCUUGUUUUUUUUUUUUGCGGUUCUCUGUUUACCCUUAUAUUUCUAUUAAAAUCAUAGUACACAUGUCUCAAAAUAUAAAAGUCUAAUUCUUUCGUUCUAUAAAAUACUAAUCAGGACAUAAUGUGACACAUCAUAGUACUACUACGUGGACAUGAGGUUGUCGAUAUUCAAGUAGAAUAUGCCACACUGUGUAUUUGAUUGGUUUUUUAUGAAAGAGAAAGAUUAGUAUUGGAUGGGAUAUAUAUUAGUAUAAUGAAUCUAGAUAGCAAGUCUAUUUAGUUUCGUAGUAUGAUAUAUUUUAUCUAGUGCUAGGCUAUUACUCCGUAUAUUAUAAAAUGGAAGAAGUAUGCUUUUCCUAUCUAUCUGUUUUCUUAAUCUGCUUUUCACGUAGACCAUCAAUUUUUUUGAAACAAGUAGACCAUCAAUUUUGGUUACAUGCGAGGUUGCCAAAUGGCAACGAACAAAUAAAGAGCAUGUCUCUGCAUUUCAUUUUGGCCAUUAGUUUGGCGGCCUUAAGCUGAUAAGCCGUAAAAAUACCUUAUUAGUAAUAAAAACUAAUUUCUAAGGAAAACUUUAUAUUUAUACCUAAGCAAUUUUAAACUGAAAAAUAAACUACUCUCGACAAUUUUAAAUUAAAAUUUCGACAGCAGAAAAUCGGAGGCAUUUGCAUGGCCUAGCAACCAGGUCAGUAGCAGCCACGCACGUACCACCGGUUCAUCACCCGACCAGUCAAAUCAGGGCGUUAUUUUCAUGAUCCAAAUGCAGACAACGGAUUGAUCGGUCGUGUCGCGUCGUGCAACAGAGCAAAGACGACGUGGAUGCUCCAAGUCGUGAGACGUUUCCCAGCCAGAAAAAAACUCGCUACUCUCCUUGACGCAGAAAGGGCCAAAAUUCUGCUUGAUAUGCGUAAUUUCCUCGGAACUCAUAUAAUACUUGUGUGUGGUAAGAACAGUGUAUGUCUCCAUCAGGCCAUAGUUCGUUUUCAGGACAAAAUGCAUCUCGCUAUCUCCUCGGUGGAAUGGCGCAUACUGGGGGUGUAUAAUCAUGCAGACUGCAGACACCUUUGAAGCUGUCCUGUGUCGGCAGCGUUGCGUCGGAUUGGAUAGGCCCUCGAAUUGUUCGACAACGACCUUGCUCCCCUUCCUUCAGGCCCAUUCUCUCGUGAAAGCAAACGUCGGAUUCGAACAGGAUCUACUAAUAAAGGAAAAAGUACACCGAAGAUACCUCAACUUAACUUGUCAUCGGGUUACAAAAUUGUCCCCCAACCACAACGUCCCUCAACUAACUAAACCGAACGGUUUCGUUUGAGAUUUUUUUUUGGUGGUUUUGAUUUCGGUUUUGUCCGACGUGGCGCUGAGUAGCGUGAAACUCAUAUGGACCCACAUGUCAGCGUGGCCACAUCAUCAUUAUCUCCCUUUUCCUCUCCCCUCUCCCUUCCUCAUCUCUCUCUCCAUCCUCUGCGAGGCCGUAGUGCGAGGCGGGACGGGAGAGGAGGGCGUCGGCAGCCGGCGACUGGCGACGCGACGGCGGUGAUGGCGGCUACUGGCGACGCGGCGGCGGUGGGGGAGGAGCUGCGGGCGGGCGGCCGGGGAGGGACGGCGCGCGGGCUCACCCGCCGGCAGCCGCCCACGAGGCGGCAGCGAGGGGAGGAGCUGCAGACGGGCUGCGGGGAAGGGGUGGCGCGCGGCCGGUAGAGAAGCAGCGUGCGGGCGGCCGGGGAGGAGCGGCGCUGUCGGCGACUCCCACUCUCAGAUCCCCCUCGCUCUUUCUCUCUCUCACCAGGGUCCAGGGGCGCUGUCGGCGGCGCGGUGGCGCCACAGUGUCAGCAAGAAACAAACAUAUGCAAAUCCAAUCUGAUGGGAGGAGCAUAGCAACCGAUGCCGAGCAGCAAGCAGAACGGAGAAAGCCGCAACGGGUGUACCUUGGGGAGCGAGCAGAAGGAAGGAUUUGGCAGGGUCGAUGCCGGAGAGCCGACGCGCGGCGAGAGCUGACGCAGCGCAGACUGCAGAGAGAGCACGUGCGGCGGCGGCGGCGGCGGUGGCGGCGUCGAGGUCAACGGCCGCUUGCCGCAAGGUGUUCAGCGACGCCGAGCUGAUAGCCGUGCAGCAGCAGGCGCCGCUCGUGGGUGCAAUGCAACUGGUGGACGGCAUCAAGAUGCUGCUCAACGACUACUGGCCUGCGGCGGCGGCGGUCGCCGGGAACGGGAUGGCGGCAGCGCCCUCUUCGACGAGGCUCUCGGCCGACCACUACGUGCUGAGAAAAGUGAGAGAUGAGGAAGGGAGAGAAGAGAGGAAAAGAGAGGAUGCUGACGUGGCCACACUGACAUGUGGGGCCCACGUGGAUCCCACGCUAAGUCAGCUGCCACAUCGGAUAAAACCGGAGUCAAAACCACUAAGAGCAAGUGUUAUGGUAGAUGUGACUACCACAUCUAAAUUUAUCCGUACUUAGGUGUCAUUCGAACCUACUAGGAUGAACAUUUAGAAAAGAAAAUAUUAACGUGUGAUUAAUUGGGUUUUAACUAUUUUAGACUUGGAAAUGAAUUUAUUGAGAUUUUAAACCAACUUCUACAUAGAAAUUUUUCGUUUGAAAUACACCGUUUAGCGAUUCGAAGAGCAUGCUAAUAAAAUAAUCUGAGAUAAAAUCUUAUCCAGAGACUUUUUUCCGGUGAGAAUAGAAU